rnacentral:rRNA from 1 species
UACGUAGGGCGCAAGCGUUAUCCGGAUUUAUUGGGCGUAAAGAGCUCGUAGGCGGUUUGUCGCGUCUGCUGUGAAAGUCCGGGGCUCAACUCCGGAUCUGCGGUGGGUACGGGCAGACUAGAGUGAUGUAGGGGAGACUGGAAUUCCUGGCGUAGCGGUGAAAUGCGCAGAUAUCAGGAGGAACACCGAUGGCGAAGGCAGGUCUCUGGGCAUUAACUGACGCUGAGGAGCGAAAGCAUGGGGAGCGAACAGG